CCAGACUCCUACGGGAGGCAGCAGUGGGGGUUAUUGCACAAUGGGGGAAACCCUGAUGCAGCGACGCCGCGUGGGUGAAGAAGCGCCUCGGCGCGUAAAGCCCUGUCAGCAGGGAAGAAAAUGACGGUACCUGAAGAAGAAGCCCCGGCUAACUACGUGCCAGCAGCCGCGGUAAUACGUGGGGGGCAAGCGUUAUCCGGAUUUACUGGGUGUAAAGGGGGCGCAGACGGCGAUGCAAGCCAGGAGUGAAAGCCCGGGGCCCAACCCCGGGGCUGCCCUUGGAACUGCAUGGCUGGAGUGCGGGAGGGGCAGGCGGAAUUCCUGGUGUAGCGGUGAAAUGCGUAGAUAUUAGGAGGAACACCAGUGGCGAAGGCGGCCUGCUGGACUGCAACUGACGUUGAGGCUCGAAGGCGUGGGGAGCAAACAGGAUUAGAUACCCCCGUA
rnacentral:rRNA from 1 species